AGUGAAGCAGUCAGAGAGUUCUUUUGUCUGGAUGACCCACCCACUAUAUCCUUUGACAGUCAUGAAGAGAGAAAGACCUUCUGUGAGACACUGGAAGAGACCAGCUGUUGCCUUCAGAGAGAAUUAACAGACAACAAAAGUGAGACUGAGUCUCUGAGAAACAUCAUGGUGGACAAAGAGCUCCACAUUAGCAAGACUAAGAGAACAAAGAAGUCUGAAUUGCAGUUCAUGAGGAGCCAUGGAGUGUGCUGGUGUGGAUCAGCAACUGACAGCCUAUGUACAAACAUUCAGAGCAAGGAUCUGGAGGUCCAUUCCAAGAACUUCGUUAACUAAAUUAAAACAAGUUUAACCCAAUAAAAAAGAAAAAUGUAAUUGCUGCCUUUAAGUUUUAAGUAAAAUUAAAAUGGUUCCACAGUUACAACCUGCAAUGAUUAGCUUAUUGCACUUUUUCUUUGACUAUUUUGAAUUUUAAAAUUACAGAAAUUAUUGUGACAAGUUAAAGGGAUGAAAACAAAAAUUAGAACACUUUCUCCAAAACAUCUUGUUUUAGUUUGUUCUUCUCCUCAAUACAAACAGAAAGCCUGUUUUGUGGUUGCAAGAUUAACAUAAACCCAAACCAAACCAUUUUUAGUGCCAAAUACUGAUUUGUAACACAUUAGACGUUUAACGGCUUUCAACUGAAAGAUGUUCUAUAAAAUGUUUAAUGACGUGAGUACUUAUGUAACAUAAAAGCUUUGCAUUCUAUCAGUUUGUGCACUUUUAUCGAGAUUUUACGUGUUUAUGCUUUGAUGCGUUUUUACUUCUGUGUUAAACCCACGCAAUACUUGCAGCCAAAUAGGUAAUGUCACUAGCUCUCCUACAAUACUGUCAUUCCCCUAUUUAUAUUUAUUGUGCACAAUAUUGUUUUGUUUUACUCAUCACUGAUGUUGUGUUUCUUCCAAGUGUAUGUCAAUCUGAGCAUACAAUUUCUGUUCAAUGGAAGCAUGUUACCUGGAUUUUUGUAUGUUUUUGACUCUGAUUUUUGAUUCAUU